rnacentral:rRNA from 1 species
UACGUAGGGUGCGAGCGUUGUCCGGAAUUAUUGGGCGUAAAGCGCACGUAGGCGGCUUGGCAAGUCGGAUGUGAAAUCCCUCGGCUCAACCAAGGAAGUGCAUCCGAAACUGCUGAGCUUGAGUACUUAAGAGGAUCGCGGAAUUCCCGGUGUAGAGGUGAAAUUCGUAGAUAUCGGGAGGAACACCAGUGGCGAAGGCGGCGAUCUGGGAAGAUACUGACGCUGAGGUGCGAAAGCGUGGGGAGCAAACAGG